GUGGGAGGGGGCUUGCCCCCGAUAGCUGAGUGUCAGUCAGUACUUUUGUAGCUGACCCAGCGCUAUCGGGGGCAAGCCCCCUCCCAC
rnacentral:misc_RNA from 1 species